GCCAACAUGGCAUAGUGGUUAGAGUGUUUGACCAGGACUCUGGAAACCAGGUACAAUUCCCUGCUUUGUCA